rnacentral:rRNA from 1 species
CAUCUCAUCCUGGGGCUGUAGCCGGUCCCAAGGGUAUGGCUGUUCGCCAUUUAAAGAGGUACGUGAGCUGGGUUUAAAACGUCGUGAGACAGUUUGGUCCCUAUCUGCCGUGGGCGUUGGAUAUUUGAAGGGGGCUGCUCCUAGUACGAGAGGACCGGAGUGGACGAACCUCUGGUGUACCGGUUGUCACGCCAGUGGCAUCGCCGGGUAGCUAUGUUCGGAAGAGAUAACCGCUGAAAGCAUCUAAGCGGGAAACUCGCCUUAAGAUGAGAUAUCCCUGGGGACUAGAUCCCCUUGAAGGGUCGUUCGAGACCAGGACGUUGAUAGGUCAGGUGUGUAAGCGCAGUAAUGCGUUCAGCUAACUGAUACUAAUUGCCCGUAAGGCUUGAUCCUAUAACA